UGCAGUCGAACGGGCUGGCGCUUAGCGGAGGCCUGCCGGAGGUGGUGAUCACGAGAAAUCGUGAGAGCUGCUGAUGGCAGGUGGAAGCUACUAGCCGGCCAGUGGCGAACGGGUGCGUAACACGUGGGUGACCUGCCCCAAAGUGGGGGAUAACUAUCCGAAAGGAUAGCUAAUACCGCAUGAGGUUCCACAUUCGUUUGUGGAACUAAAGGAGCAAUCCGCUUUGGGAGGGGCCCGCGGCCCAUCAGCUAGUUGGUAGGGUAAUGGCCCACCAAGGCGAUGACGGGUAGCUGGUCUGAGAGGACGAUCAGCCACACUGGCACUGAGACACGGGCCAGACUCCUACGGGAGGCAGCAGUGAGGAAUAUUGCGCAAUGGGCGAAAGCCUGACGCAGCAACGCCGCGUGGGCGACGAAGGUCUUCGGAUCGUAAAGCCCUUUUCUAGAGGACGAGGUAGGACGGUACUCUAGGAAUAAGUCUCGGCUAACUACGUGCCAGCAGCCGCGGUAAAACGUAGGAGGCGAGCGUUAUCCGGAUUUAUUGGGCGUAAAGCGCGUGUAGGCGGUGCUCUAAGUUGGACGUGAAAUCUCCCGGCCUAACCGGGAGGGGCCGUUCAAUACUGGGGCACUUGAGGGCAGAAGAGGGAAGUGGAAUUCCCGGUGUAGCGGUGGAAUGCGUAGAUAUCGGGAGGAACACCAGUGGCGAAGGCGGCUUCCUGGUCUG
rnacentral:rRNA from 1 species